rnacentral:rRNA from 1 species
CCUACGGGGGGCAGCAGUGAGGAAUAUUGGUCAAUGGACGAGAGUCUGAACCAGCCAAGUAGCGUGAAGGAUGACUGCCCUAUGGGUUGUAAACUUCUUUUAUAAAGGAAUAAAACGAGGCACGUGUGCCUUUUUGCAUGUACUUUAUGAAUAAGGAUCGGCUAACUCCGUGCCAGCAGCCGCGGUAAUACGGAGGAUCCGAGCGUUAUCCGGAUUUAUUGGGUUUAAAGGGAGCGUAGAUGGGUUGUUAAGUCAGUUGUGAAAGUUUGCGGCUCAACCGUAAAAUUGCAAUUGAUACUGGAAGUCUUGAGUACAGUUGAGGUAGGCGGAAUUCGUGAUGUAGCGGUGAAAUGCUUAGAUAUCACGAAGAACCCCGAUUGCGAAGGCAGCUUACUAAACUGUGACUGACAUUGAUGCUCGAAAGUGUGGGUAUCAAACAGGAUUAGAUACCCUUGUAGUC